AUUGAACGCUGGCGGCAGGCCUAACACAUGCAAGUCGAACGAGUGGCGCACGGGUGAGUAAUGUCUGGGAAACUGCCCUAUGGAGGGGGUUAACUACUGGAAACGGUAGCUAAUACCGCAUACCAUCAGAUGUGCCCAGAUGGGAUUAGCUUGUGGGUGGGGUAACGGCUCACCAAGGCGACGAUCCCUAGCUGGUCGGAGGGGAUGACCAGCCACACUGGACCGGAAACACGGUCAGGCCUCUUACGGGGGGAAGCGGUGGGGAAUAUUGAACAAUGGGGGCAAGCCUACUGCAGACAGGCCGCGUGGAUGAAGAAGGCCUUCGGGUUGUAAAGUACGUUGAGCGGGGAGGCGGUACCCACAGAAGAAGCACCGGCUAACUACGUGCCAGCAGCCGCGGUAAUAC
rnacentral:rRNA from 1 species